rnacentral:rRNA from 1 species
CCCUUAGAUGUUCUGGGCGGCCCGCGCACUACACUGGCACUCUCAAUCAGAGCCUGGAUCUAACACUUUGGGGUAUUCUAUGAAGUGGUGUCGUGACUGGGAUUAACCCUUGCAAUUAUUGGUUACGAACGAGGAAUUCCUUGUAAUCGCGGUUUAUCAGCCCGCGUUGAAUGCGUCCCUGCCCUUUGUACACACCGCCCGUCGCUCCUACCGAUUGAGCGAUCCGGUAAAUGUUUUGGAUUGGUGCCGGGGCGGCUAGCUGCCGGUCGCUACGAAAUUUUGUGAACCUUAUCGCUUAGAGGAAGGAAAAGUCGUAACA